rnacentral:lncRNA from 1 species
CAAACAAAGCCCCAAUUCAGGGAGAACAACAGUUGAGGAGUCAGAUAACACUGCCUGCAAUGGCUCAGUUUCAGAACCAGAUGAGACACCCUCCACACCCUCCUUUGUACCACUGACGGGCUUGCCCUGGAUUCAUUACUCAUCUCUGCCUGCCUCUACUAACCUUUCUCUUCUGGUUCCUCCCUUCGCCAUCUUUACUUCUACUUUCUUCCUUCUCCUCAUUUCUACCCGCUCUUACCCCUUUGGUAUCAUCAAGUUUUGUGAGUUGUAAACUAAAGAAACCAACUCUUGUCAUUGUAAGCAAUACAGAAAUUGGUAGGAUAAGGAGGAAGAAGCAGGGACCCUCCAGAGAGCAGUAAAAAGGAUGUCAAGGUCUUGCCACCGACAUCUGUCCACGUGCCACCAAUGUUGAUACAAUGAAACUCACCUGCCACUAGCCUCAAACCUUUGGUCACAUAAUCACAAGACUCAAAAUCCCAGGAGAGGUUAUCCAAUCGGUUGAGCCCAACUCUCUUGCCCAUUCACAGCUGUUCCAAAGAGGACAAGUGGUCCCUUCGGUUGACACAGUGGACCGUGGGCAUGCCUUUUAUCAAGACCUCUCUGAAUGGAGAACUCAGAGAUGGUGAAUGAUCUCCAAGCUGAAUGAUCACCCAGGAAUUCCCCCUCAUUCAUCUAUCUCUGGAGGGAGGAGGGAAAAUAAAAAAGCUGCUUCGGAAGUUCUCCAGCGGUGCCACUUCCAUUGGUACCUCAAUUGGAAUCUAUGAGAAAAAAAAGUUCCUUUGUAAUGACCUCAGCCAUGCUUUAAAAAAAAAAAAAAAAAAAAAAAGUAAAAGCCUCUAAAACUCAUGAAAAACACAGUUGAUGUGAAUCAUAUGUCUGAGUGGCGAAGUUCCCGCAAAGCCGGGAGGGUGCACAGAUGUGCAGAGCAGAAACUCCCCUCACACAGCAACUGUUCCUCCACAGAGCUAGCAGCUAAAGGUAAAUAGCUCGGCCCCGUCAGCGUCCCUGCCUGGGAGGCUGCCUGGCAGGUCCCCAUUCUCCUCCCUCCUCGCCCUUUGGUCACCCAUCCUCUACCUUUUUAUAUACUCUCUCCUUGUCCAAAAGGAACAGGAUCUGACCAUAAUCACUCAUAUUUGUUGACUGGUAGAUUAUACUCUAGCAGAUGACCUAAUAUCUUAACCAGUCGUUUGCGUUUUAAAACUCCCAUCUUCCAGUUGUGGAAAGAAAAACAUCUACUAAAGGAAUUUCAGGCA